AGUCAGGCACCCACUAUGCAGUUCAGGUUGGCCUUGAACUCCAGAUGAUUCUGCUGCUUCAGCCUCCCAAGUGCAGACAUUACAGGUGUGUGCCACUGCACCCAGCUCUGCUGCAUUUCUGUGCUGUGACCCAUGGAGGAUGGAGCGCUGCCUCUAGGAAGAAGCGCCGAGAAGCGUCUACAAAGAGCGGCGAAGACAGGAAGCUCCUGUGAAGGUUUUAUCGGUGUUCGGGAGAUCCUGGGCCCUGGCAGGACAGAACUGCGGAGUACACAGAGCGCGAGGUGCCCGCCUCAGCCUCCUCACAACCGUGUCUCCACCGACUCCGCCGCAUUGCACGAACAGACGAGGGCUCUGACGGUGGCCCGGCCUUCGGAUCCAUUCCGCAAGAAGGAAGAAUUUUAAUUGCACCCAUGAGAAGAUAGGAACCAACGAAGCAGAGCUCUGUCUGGAGCCGCUGAGCGUGUGCCUCAAGAAGCGUGCAGGGCAGGACGCCCGUGCCUCAUUCUGCGGCUGCCAGGGGUUUGACGGCACAGAGAGCGCCAACCCUUGUGUGUAGGUAAGAAGGUCAGUUAUUCAAGUAAAAGUUCACAGGAAGGUCUCACGGCGUGGAAAACAGUGAGCGCCUCCUUUUGGAGGGUUAAGCUGUGCUUCUCAUUUGGUAAAGCUGAAUUGGAUGUUUUGCGUAAUGCAAGUUCACAUUGUGCUUCACACGCACGGUGUCGGCCAGGUCAGUCCUGUUCACACUGUGCGUUACGCACGCGGUGUCGGCCAGGUCGGUCCCGUUCAC
rnacentral:lncRNA from 1 species